rnacentral:ncRNA from 1 species
GCCCUCACUACACAUGCAAGCCUCCGCAAACCCGUGCCAACGCCCAUGCCCCUACCCACUAGACCUGGAGCUGACAUCAGGCCCGCAAAAGCAGCCAACAACGUCCCGCUAUGCCACACCCCCACGGAUCUCAGCAGUGACAAACAUUAAGCCAUGGGCGCCACCCUGUAAGCCCGACUUAGCUAGGGCAACCCCCAGGGCCGGUAAAUUCCGUGCCAGCCGCCGCGGUUAUACGGAAGGCCCAAAAUAACACCCCCCCGGCGUAAACUGUGACUAGAGCUAAAUUUUACCAUCAAAGUCCCUGACCCCUGUAUAGUUGUAAAAUACAAAUACACGCAGGCACCCCACCAGGACUUCCACACAAAAUUGCCUUGACCUCACGAAAACUAAGACAUAAACUAGGAUUAGAUACCCUACUAUACUUAGUCGUUAACCCUGAUGGGCCUUACACCCCGCCCCAUCCGCCAGAGAACUACGAGCGAAAAGCUUCAAACUCAAAGGACUUGACGGUGUUCCAUACCAGCCUAGAGGAGCCUGUCUAAUAAUCGAUACUCCACGCUAAACCUCACCCCCCCUUGCAAACCAGCAGCCUGUAUACCGCCGUCGCCAGCCUGCCUACUGAUAGCCAAAAAGCAGACAAAAUAGUAAGCCCACUAAAACGUCAGGUCAAGGUGCAGCUGAUGGGAGGGGAACCAAGAUGGGCUACAUUUUCUAACAACCAGAAAACCUACCACAGGCUACAUGAAACCUAAGCCGCACGGCGGAUUUAGUAGUAAAAUCUCGGCAAGAAGUGCCAAGUUGAAAUUCUGCUCUGGAACGCGUACACACCGCCCGUCACCCUCUUCAACAAAUACCCGCCACAAAUAACUCAAACCGCAAGCAACUCCAAGAAGAGGUAAGUCGUAACAUGGUAAGCCCACCGGAAGGUGGGCUUGGAUCAAACAGGGGGUAGCUAACCACCAAAGCACCCAACCUACAAUUGGGAGACGUUGACCACAACCCCCCUGAGCUGAAAAGUUAGCCGCCUCACACCUACAAGCACGACCCCUCCCCCCACCAAACUAAAUCAUUCGCCACAUUAAGUAUAGGAGAUAGAAAACUGCCACCCGCGCAACAGCUAAAAGUACCAUACGGGAA